rnacentral:rRNA from 1 species
AACGAACGCUGGCGGCAGGCUUAACACAUGCAAGUCGAGCGCCCCGCAAGGGGAGCGGCAGACGGGUGAGUAACGCGUGGGAAUCUACCCAUCUCUACGGAAUAACGCAUGGAAACGUGUGCUGAUACCGUAUACGUCCUUCGGGAGAAAGAUUUACCGGAGAUGGAUGAGCCCGCGUUGGAUUAACUAGUUGGUGGGGUAAAGGCCUACCAAGGCGACGAUCCAUAGCUGGUCUGAGAGGAUGAUCAGCCACACUGGGACCGAGACACGGCCCAGACUCCUACGGGAGGCAGCAGUGGGGAAUAUUGGACAAUGGGCGCAAGCCUGAUCCAGCCAUGCCGCGUGAGUGAUGAAGGCCCUAGGGUUGUAAAGCUCUUUCACCGGUGAAGAUAAUGACGGUAACCGGAGAAGAAGCCCCGGCUAACUUCGUGCCAGCCGCCGCCGUAAAAC